AUUGAACGCUAGCGGGAUGCUUUACACAUGCAAGUCGAACGAGUGGCGGACGGGUGAGUAAUAUAUCGGAACGUGCCCAGUAGCGGGUGAUAACUACUCGAAAGAGUGGCUAAUACCGCAUACUAUUGGAGCGGCCGAUAUCGGAUUAGCUAGUUGGUGGGGUAAAGGCUCACCAAGGCGACGAUCCGUAGCUGGUUUGAUAGGACGACACGCGACACUGGGACUGAGAAAGGGCCCAGACUCGCACGGGAGGCAACAGGGGGGAAUAUUGCACAAUGGGGACAAACCGGAUGGAGCCAUGCCGCGUGUAUGAGAAGGCCCUAGGGUUGUAAAGUACUUUCAGUCGGGAAGCGUUACCGACAGAAAAAGCAACGGCUAACUCCGUGCCAGCAGCCGCGGUAAUAC
rnacentral:rRNA from 1 species